CAAUAAGCGGGGAGGAAA
rnacentral:rRNA from 1 species